rnacentral:rRNA from 1 species
GUCCUAAGGUAGCGAAAUUCCUUGGCGGGUAAGUUCCGUCCUGCACGAAUGGCGUAAUGACUUCUCCACUGUCUCAAGUGCCGGCUCGGUGAAAUUGAAUUCCUCGUGAAGAUGCGGGGGUAUCGCGGCUGGACGGAAAGACCCUGUGCACCUUUACUAUAACCUUGCGCUGCUCGGAUUGCGGGCUUGUUCAGCAUAGGCGGGAGCUUGUUUUUAAUAAGCACCAGUGAGAUACCGCCCUUGUUCUUUAUUCGGGCUUUUUGCAUGGUUGGUAGUUUGGCUGGGGUGGCCGCCUCCUAAAAGGUAACGGGGGCGCGCAACGGUGGGCUCAAUCCGAUAUUCGGAGUAAGAGCGCAAUGGUAAAAGCCCGCCUGACUGAAAGACUGACGGGUCGAUCAGGGACGCAAGUCGGCCAUAGUGACCCGACGAUGCUGCGCGGAAAGGUCGUCGAUCAACGGAUAAAAGGUACGCCAGGGAUAACAGGCUAAUAACCCCUAAGAGACCAAAUCGCCGGGGUUGUUUGGCACCUCGAUGUCGGCUC